rnacentral:rRNA from 1 species
GAUGAACGCUGGCGGCGUGCCUAACACAUGCAAGUCGAACGGAGCUGUUUUGAUGAAGUUUUCGGAUGGAUUUAAAACAGCUUAGUGGCGGACGGGUGAGUAACGCGUGGGUAACCUGCCUCACACUGGGGGAUAACAGUUAGAAAUAGCUGCUAAUACCGCAUAAGCGCACGGUCCCGCAUGGAACAGUGUGAAAAACUCCGGUGGUGUGAGAUGGACCCGCGUCUGAUUAGCCAGUUGGCGGGGUAACGGCCCACCAAAGCGACGAUCAGUAGCCGGCCUGAGAGGGUGAACGGCCACAUUGGGACUGAGACACGGGCCCAAACUCCUACGGGAGCAGCAGUGGGGAAUAUUGCACAAUGGGGGAAACCCUGAUGCAGCGACGCCGCGUGAGUGAAGAAGUAUUUCGGUAUGUAAAGCUCUAUCAGCAGGGAAGAAGAAAUGACGGUACCUGACUAAGAAGCCCCGGCUAACUACGUG